UGGCAAAUAAUCGCUAAUGAUGAGCCUAUGUUAGAUUAGCUAGUUGGUGGGGUAAUGGCCUACCAAGGCAGUGAUCUAUAGCUGGUCUGAGAGGAUGAUCAGCCACACUGGAACUGAGACACGGUCCAGACUCCUACGGGAGGCAGCAGUGGGGAAUAUUGGACAAUGGGCGCAAGCCUGAUCCAGCUAUGCCGCGUGAGUGAGGAAGGCCUUAGGGUUGUAAAACUCUUUCAGUAGGGGAGGGGUGGAACGGUACCAA
rnacentral:rRNA from 1 species